rnacentral:lncRNA from 1 species
UACCAUAAAUGAUGACUAUGCUAUGGUGCAUCCUCAUUUCACCACUAUGUGGACAACACAAUCCCAUAAGUGGAUCACUCCUAUGAGCAGCCUGCCAUCUUCUACCAUCUGGACAACCAUCUCAUAGGUAGACCACUUCUAUGGGCAGCCUACCACAUCUCACAAUUUAGACAACACAUCCCACAAGUGAUCACUCCUAUGGAUAGCCUGCC